GAGUUGUCUUGGUCAAUGGCGAGUGAGUUCUGAGUAGUCUCUCACAUUGAUAGUCAUUCCUGCAUUACCAUUUCUUUUUUGGAUCUGCUUUGCCAAUGCUAUAUAGCAGUUCAAUUAUCUGCAUUUGGAACCAUUUUCGUUCUCUUAAUUAUUUUAACUAUCAAUAAUUGAAGGACAAUAGUCUGCAGUAGAAGUAUUUUUAGGGAAAUGAAUAUCAAAUAUGCCUUGUUUAGCUUCAAUAAUUAAUUCACUGUCUAUGAUUCUACUGAUUCUUACUGGCAAAAAAAAUAUGUGCACCUCUUAACUAGCUUUAUGAAUGAAACUUUUUGCUUGAGAUAUUGCAACUACACUAUAAUGUUAAGCCUUUGUUAUUAUUGCUUCUUUGAACUAAUCUGUCAUGAAUAUGGAGGAA
rnacentral:misc_RNA from 1 species